UCCAUCUGGAGAAAGAGACAUGUCAG
rnacentral:piRNA from 1 species